rnacentral:rRNA from 1 species
GACGAACGCUGGCGGCGCGCUUAACACAUGCAAGUCGAGCGAAGCGGCGGACGGGUGAGUAACACGUGAGUUACCUGCCUGAGACAUUGAGAUAGCCUCGGGAAAUGGGGAUUAAUACCAAAUGGUCUAAGAUGGACUCGCGUCCCAUUAGCUAGUUGGUGGGUAACGGCCCACCAAGGCGACGAUGGGUAGCCGGCCCGAGAGGCUGAACGGCGACAUUGGAAGUGAGAAACAGUCCAAACUCUACGGGAGGCAGCAGUGGCGAAUAGUGCACAAUGGAGGGAGCUCUGAUGCGGCGACGCCGCGUGAACGAAGAAGUCUUUCGAGACGUAAAGCUCUUUUAUAUGGGAAGCGGUACCAUAAGAAAAAGCCCCGGCUAACUACGUGCCAGCAGCCGCGGUAAUUC